UCUCACAAUGACCAAAACAGAGAGGAAUUACUACUCUUUCUUAUGGUCUGAAUAUGAGAUGCCCUCCAAAAUUCUGGUAUGUUGAAGGUUUUGUCCCAAGCUGGUGUCCCAAUCACUUACUGAGAGGUGAUUAUUUCAUCAAAUUCUUGGCUUUUCUUUUAAGGAAGAGUUUUAAAUUUUUUAUUUUAUUUCUUUACUCAUUCGUGGCCUCUUCAGAUUCUCUACUUCAGAAUUCAGUAUUUGUAGACUGUAUGUCUAUAAGCCUUUAUUCAUUUCUCUCAACGCAUUUAG